UCGGAACGUCACUUCCUGUCAAUGGGAGAAGGCGCAAAGGAAAAGCCGAAGGAGAGUUACCUGGCAUCUUCCAACUGAUUGUGGUCCAGUGAGAGGCAUCAAUUCGCUGAAAUAAGGCGAGCGGGAAGAGCUGUUAGCCUCAAGCCAACGGCCCCACACCGCUGUUCAAAUAGGUUGCCUAGCAACCAGAAGCUACGGUUCUGUCUAGUCGAUGUUGACCUUGGAUGAUAUCAUGCACCAGUCUUCUCCACUCUGUUCUUUCCACCACUCGAUCUCUUGGCUCAGCUAAUGUCAUUCCUGUUGUUUUUGUAAUUCCUUCCAUCCACCUUUGCCUUUGUCUUCCUUUUAGAAGUUUCCCCUCACAUUUUCCAAACAUGAUGUUAUUUCUUCUUCUGA